rnacentral:rRNA from 1 species
GACGAACGCUGGCGGCGUGCCUAAUACAUGCAAGUAGGACGCAGUUGCGAACGGGUGAGUAACGCGUAGGUAACUACCUAUUAGAGGGGGCUAACUACUGGAAACGAUAGCUAAUACCGCAUACUAGUAGAUGGACCUGCGUUGUAUUAGCUAGUAGGUAGGGUAAUGGCCUACCUAGGCAACGAUACAUAGCCGACCUUAGAGGGUUGUCGGCCACACUUGGACUGAGACAAGGCCCAGACUCCUACGGGGGGGAGGCAGAGGGAAUCAUCGGCAAUGGGGGGAACCCUUACCGAGCAACGCCGCGGGAGGGAAGAAGGUUUUCGGAGCGGAAAGCUCCGUUGUUAGAGAAGCGGUACUUGCCCAGAAAGGAACGGCUAACUACGUGCCAGCCGCCGCGGUAAUUC